rnacentral:misc_RNA from 1 species
UUUUUGUCAGAUUUUUCUGACCUACCAUGUCUAUAUUUUCAUGUAUGGACCAAACUAAUAGCACCACAAAUUAUUGAAAUUUUAUUCUACAAUUUUCAUUGUAUUUCACUACAAGUCUUUGAUUUUAAAUUUUAUUCUUAUCCUGUGGAUCCUCAAUCAGGUUAUAUACAUGAAAAUGAAAUUGAAAAUGGUGAUGCAUAUCAGUAUGUAGAGCUUGUGCAGCCUGCAGAAGCUCAUCAACAUUCUAAUUCCACUGAAGAAACUUGCUGCUUUUAGAAAUGCCCUUAUAAAGGUUAGUGCUGUUCUGUUUCAGAAAGCUGGUUGCGAUUCUCAAAGGAUGAUUUGAUUCUUCUCGUCCUUUUUGUUUGUUGUGAUCUUUGUGAUUAAGAGUCCAUUAAGAAAAUAUUGUAUGAUUUAAGAGUGUCGGGACCUGAAAGAUACUCAUGGAAUAUGCUCUGAUAACGGAUAUAACAAUGUAAAGUGGGCAUUUUCCUUCCCCAAGUAAACUACCUGAAAGAUAGCUACUCAUGGAAUAUGCUCUGAUAACGGAUAUAACAAUGUAAAGUGGGCAUUUUCCUUCCCCAAGUAAACUACCUGAAAGAUAGCUACUCAUGGAAUAUGCUCUGAUAACGGAUAUAACAAUGUAAAGUGGGCAUUUUCCUUCCCCAAGUAAACUACCUGAAAGAUAGC